AAUGAACGUUGGCGGCGUGGAUUAGGCAUGCAAGUCGUACGAGAAUCGUAGCAAUACGAGGAAAGUGGCGGAAGGGAGAGGAUUACGUGGGAAUCUACCCUCAGAACUGGGAUAGCGGCGGGAAACUGCCGGUAAUACCAGAUAAUGUCUGUGGACCAAAGGUGUGAUUCCGUCUGGGGAUGAGCCCACGUCCUAUUAGCUAGUUGGCAGGGUAAUGGCCUACCAAGGCAAUGAUGGGUAGCGGGUGUGAGAGCAUGACCCGCCUCACUGGGACUGAGAACUGCCCAGACACCUACGGGUGGCUGCAGUCGAGAAUCUUCGGCAAUGAGCGCAAGCUUGACCGAGCGACGCCGCGUGCGGGAUGAAGGCCUUCGGGUUGUAAACCGCUGUCGUAGGGGAGCAAGAGAUGAGGGUACUCCCUCUGAUUUGAGCGAUCCUAGGAGGAAGGACGGGCUAAGUUCGUGCCAGCAGCCGCAGUAACAC
rnacentral:rRNA from 1 species